rnacentral:lncRNA from 1 species
GAGCAGUUGGUUUCGUUGUCUUGAUUUGGGGCAGUAAUGAUUUCUGAGAAGCAGGUGAUUGAUACGCACAAAUUCAAAGCCCCUUGGGGGCUGCAUUGUAGCAUGGUGUGGAGAUGGGGAGACAGAGGGCUGGUAGGAUCCCGAAUUCCUAGUUUUUCUCUCCCUCUCCCUUGCUUCUUUGUUUUCUUCCUUCAGGCUUUCUUCCAUCAAAUAUUUGUGGAGCUGGAACUGGGCUUCACUAUCAUAUUCCAAGGCCCUGUACUGGGAACAGACGAAGAAGCUCCUCCCAGAGACUGGAAGAAUGGUACAAGGUGUGAAAACCAAGGCUUAAAGCAUGCAAGUUAUUUGCCCAAGGUUUUUCAGCCACAAAUGAAGAAGCUGGGUCUGCUCCACACCUGUGAACCAGUCUAUUUCCACCAUAACCUGAACUCAGAUUAGCACCAGCCCAUGGAGAAUAGUCCAGAAGGCUGCCCAUAGCCUUAAAGGACAGUGUGAGCAUUAAUCACAGCCUGGUGCAUUUGAAGACCACCUCCGGAACAAUGUCGUUUUAAAUCUAUGCCCAAGGCUGAACUUGGAUUGGAAAGAUGGGAGAGACAGCAGGCCUGGGUGUAUUCAGGAUUAUUUCCUACUAACUCACUCUCUCCUCCCUCCUCCCUUUCUUGAAACAGCCCCACAAAAUGAGUGUUAUAUUCUGGAUUAUCAGAAGAGAAAUGUGAGAUGCAGGCAGGUUGAGAAAAUUGCUCCAAGUCACUUCGGGAAUGUGUGCAUGGACAAGGUAGGUCCACCUGGGAUUGUUCAGCUGCAAGAUCAACACAGGGCCAAGUCAGAAAACACAGAUUUCCCAUCAAACCUGGGUUCUGUGAAAAUAAGAUCUUAAUGGAAACUC